AUAAUACUCCAUCCGUCCGAAAAUACUUGUCAUAAGAAUGGAUGUAUCAAGAUUUAUUUUAGUUUGAGAUACAUGCUUUUUUAUUUAUUUGUGCGACAAGUAAUUCCGGAUGAAGGGAAUAUAAA
rnacentral:pre_miRNA from 2 species